GGGCGGCAAGGUGCAGCAAUGCAUCNUAGAGCGGCGGACUGGUGAGUAACGCGUGGGUGACUUACCUUACGGCCGGGGAUAGCCAUUAGAAAUAGUGGGUAAUACCGGAUGUGGUUGCGAGACUAUGGUUUUGCAAAGAAAGGGGCUUCGGCCCCGCCGUGAGAUGGGCCCGCGACCCAUUGGNUAGUUGGAGAGGUAAGAGCUUACCAAGCCGAAGAUGGGUAGCCGGCCUGAGAGGGUGAACGGCCACACUGGGACUGAGAUACGGCCCAGACUCCUACGGGAGGCAGCAGCUAAGAAUAUUCCGCAAUGGACGAAAGUCUGACGGAGCGACGCCGCGUGGAUGAAGAAGGCCGUGAGGUUGUAAAGUCCUUUUAUUGCUGAAGAAUAAGGCGGGGAGGGAAUGUCCUGCUGAUGACGUUAGGCAAUGAAUAAG
rnacentral:rRNA from 1 species